GUUUUUAUUUAUAAUACUUUCAGUUAUCUUAGAGAGGGAGACAUUUUUACAUCUGGCUAUGGACUGAAGUUUUAUCUAAAUAAUGAGCAUCUUGUUCUCACUUAUUUGUCCAAGUAAUGUAGUGUCUGUGGUCAAACAGGGAUGUACUUCAGAUGACAGAUGCUCACUUAGCAACUCCUUUACCCCCUCUGAGACAGCAUGACAGGGGAGCAAAUACUAUGAAAAACUACAUGGGUUGAGAUAAACAUGUGGAGAUCACUCACCAGUUACCAUCAACAGGUAAAACAGAUUUGACUUGUGGAAAAUUAACUUCAUCGAUUGCCAAUUAAAAUAGACAAGAAUAAUGAGAAAUAAGAAGUGAGAGCAUCUUCUCCCAGGCCCCUGCAGCCCUCUGCACAGAGCUGGAACACCUGCAUACAGAUGUACAGUGUGCAACUCAGCUUCAUUAUCAUCAGUCAGAAGGUGUCAACUUAUCCAACAUCAGAAGUUAGAUGACAAAGAGACUGUCUGUCACAAAUAAAGAAUUUGUUGGAAAUCAAGAAGGGCUCUUCAGAUGGAACCAGGCAAUGCUUGUGGAAGUUCAGAAAAAGCUGCUAAAAUGAGGGACCUGUGGAAUUUCCAUCUGGAAACAGUCAUUUAUCAACAGAAAAUGGCAGAAUGGAUAGAACAGGGGAGGACUGUACCACAUACUAAGAUGUGUGAAGAAUAUAUCCUUAAUUUUUCACGUCUCACCUUGGUGUCAAGGUGUUCAUUAUAUUCAGCUACCUUGGAAAUAGAAUGAAGCAAUUCAGUAAAUAGAAUGAAGCAAUUCAGUAAAUAGAAAGCAUACUGAUAGGUGCAGAAAGGUAGAAACAUAUCAUUUUGAUUCAUACGUUAGAAUGUAGUGGACACAUGAAACUUCUGUCCCUUCAAAUUAGUGUUUGUGUUGCUGUGUAACCUGUGUCACUAAGCAAGUGCACCACUGCAGUUUCUGUCAUGGAUAGAAGAAGGCUUUUUUGAUCAUAGUUCUCUACAGUAAAAACAGGAAACACUUAGAAAUGUAA
rnacentral:lncRNA from 1 species